rnacentral:rRNA from 1 species
AACGAACGCUGGCGACAGGCUUAACACAUGCAAGUCGAGCGCCCCGCAAGGGGAGCGGCAGACGGGUGAGUAACACGUGGGAAUCUACCCAUCCCUACGGAACAACUCCGGGAAACUGGAGCUAAUACCGUAUACGUCCUUUUGGAGGAAGAUUUAUCGGGGAUGGAUGAGCCCGCGUCCGAUUAGCUAGUUGGUGGGGUAAAGGCCUACCAAGGCGACGAUCGGUAGCUGGU